UUGUUUCAGGUUUUGGAUGAUGCUUUUCUCUAUCAAUAUUGAUGGCUUUGACUAAUCCUCCUCCAGCGUUCUCAUGGGUUUUGGAUGAUGAUUUUAUUAAUCAGUGAUGGCUUUGACUACUCUUCUUCAGGCGUUCUCAUGGGUUCCAAUUGGAAUGGAGUAUACUACUCACAACUAUAAGCUUGUGGACCAGGUUUUGGAUGAUGUUUUAUAUCAAUCAGUGACGGCUUUGAUGGAAACGCUCCUUCUCUAUGCAACGACUUCACUCUUCAGGGGUGUUUUGGAAGCAAAUUAUUGAUCUGAUCAUUACCUUCUUCUACAUGCUGCUACGUCUUCAGGCAUUCUCACGGAUUUGUGGAGGAGGAUUCUACGAUUGUUCGGUGAUGGCUUUGACGGAUCCUUGUCACUCUCAUUCAUGUUAUUCUUCUAGGAUUGUGGAGGAGGAUGCUUUGAUGGAUCUUUUUUUCUUCUCUGCGCUACAUCUUCAGAUCGUUGAGGCACCUGGAUUGUUGUGUGGGAGGCUCAAAGAGAGAACAUUGUGGGAGUUUAAUUUUCAGAUUGUGGAGACACCGGGACGGAUUUGAUAAAUCUUAGCAUAAUAUUUAUCUCUCUCUCAUGCAGAUCGUAGAGGCACCGGGAAUGAUAUGAUAAAUCUUUCUUCUGGUUCAAGGCCGUGUUGGUGAGUGAGGUUUCAAGUAAUGUGCUCAUCUUCCUAGUGACGCUGACAUCUAUGCUUUAAGUCGAAGGCCUUGUCUUUUGUUAUAGAUAGGCGAGGUUUUUUAUAAGAGAAAAGCAUCAGGGAUGAUUCAGUGUUUGAUCCCAAUUACAUAUGCUUGUGAUGAUAGCUUCUUCCCUUCAUUAUAGUUCUGUUGACGAUGCAAAAGAGGCAUGCUCCUUUUUGGUUGGCAUCGUGGGAUGUUUGGUUACUUCUAUAUUUCAUGGAGAUGUGAUCAGCUUAAGUGUGCUUUGGACCUUGGGCCCAUUUUGUUUAUAUUCCACGGCCCAUUUAGAAUUUAAUAUUUUAUUGUUUCAGUUUGUUACUUCGAUUCGAUCAUAUUCACUUCUUUUUCUCUUAAAAUUUUAUUUUCUUAUUUUGU